CCCCUUUCUUCCUAGGAAACAGAUAUUCUCCCUCUCCUGGGUGUUCCACUGCAGGUCUUAAAGCAGAAUCCUCGUAAAAGGAGAAGUCCAAGACCUGGCUCAUGAAGUGGUAUUGAUUUUUUGAGUUCCUGCUCGAAUUGCCAAAGAUACAACACUGCUGUUAAGGAGAGGAGAUGCUUUGGCCUUCAAUAUCACAGGAGGGUUCCUCGGAGCUGAAAAACGAUUACAAAUACGAAACAGAUUUCACUACUGGACUUGAGCUCCACGUUAUAAAAACAAUAAGCUCCUCAGAAUAAUUGGAAAAGAUCCUUACCAAAGAGUAGCUGCAAUGGGAAUGGAGUGUAUCAAGGAAUAAGAGGGUACAACCAUCCUGGUUUGCUGGAACUGAGGAGUUUCACUUACAUAAAAGAAUGCACUGAUGGAUGUCCAUGAUGUUGUUCAGCAGCAAGAGUUGACGGUGGGAAGCUGGGUGAAAAUGCAAGUGGACUAUGACUCCUGGUGUCCAGGAUAGAGUGGGGAGGGACAAGCCCUGCCAUUCCCCAGCAGAGUUGAAGUAAAGACGAAUCAAUAUCCCCAUGGUGUCAUCACUGGGUUGAAAAAUCAAGUGAUUUCAGCCUUCAAAUCCCCUUUUAACACAGAAAAAGAAAUGUGACAAUGUUUAUUUACACACAUCUGUUUGUCAGAGGACUUCAAAGCAGUGGACAGAGAUCAGUUACGCACUGCCACUUCCCCCUUAGGCUGCAUCUCCUUCUUUCAGGUGGGACACUGAGGUCACUAGCACGGAGGCAGCUCACCCUCUUUUCAGCUCCUGGGCCACAACGUAGGGCAGGAGUCCAGUCGGGAUGAGGACUUGGGUCCUGGCGCCUAACCACCCGCCGUGGACUCCAGCUACCAGAACCAUCCAAAGAAGCAAGCGUACCACCUGGCCCAAAGAAAGAGUCCAGCCCUGAGUGUGGCAGGUUAAGAGCCUACAGGGUGGUUCACUCAAAGGCACUGCCUUGCUCCAUCCCGUGCUGCUAUUGUACAUUGGAACGCACGCUGCUAGGAGACAAAGAGGACACACGUUUAUUUUCAAGUGUAGGACUUUGGAACCACUUGGGAAGAAUAUUCUUGAUUGAAAACCAAAACAUUCCAUGAUGCUUAACAAACCUGCAAAUUGAAAAAUCAGCAUCGGCCUGUGCAGCCAGGAGGCAGGAGAAGGACCUAUAGCCUGGAAAAAAAAAAUCAAAAUAUUGCCUAAAUGACAUUUGUGUGCAUUUGCAAAAUUGCCACUUUCUGAAUCAAAGGCUCAAGCUGUUUUCAUCUGAGAACAUAUGUUGUGCCGUUAGACAAUAUCUCAGCCUGCCGCCGUCCACGACAAACCCUGGCGCAUGGCAUAAUGGACAGUCCCGUGAAGAAGGCGCUGCCGCUCCGUCAAUGCCCCUGUAAUAAUAUUUUAAAGUAAAUGACAUGCAUCAUUAAAUCACUGAGGAUGACUAACUCAAUUUUAGAAAACCCACAACUCCAGCAAUCAUAGUUACAGCUCUGAUUUGAAUAUUUUCACUUUCACCUGAGCAGCCAGUGGGAGCCAGUCAGGCAGAUUCUGCAUCCAGGCAGACGCUGUCUGUGCUCUCAAAGGAGCAGGAAGGAACCUGUGAUUAUGUAGUUACAGGAACGUCGGCUAGAUGCUUCACGUCCGCCUGGGCUUUUUAGGCUUUUCUUUCCUCCCUUCUUGCCUUCUUAUUUACAUAUCACAGGCAAUCUCUUUGUAAAGUUAUUUUAAAUAAUUUAUUAGAUUGAUCUUUUUAAAAUUCUACCCUGGCUAAAUGUCAUAAGGAAACAAAAAGUCUUCUAAACUUAUUUAAAGGUUUCUACUGGAGUGGGCCAGUUACCUGCUUCACUGCUGUUAUUCUAAAAAUACCUCCAUGUCCAUACUAUUAUCCAUUCUUCACGUCCAAUUGCUCUGUUAUGGUAAUAGUCAGAAGCACACCAUGCAGUAAUUACUUACAGCUGACUGAAGAAAAGAAUAUUCCACUCCCCCACUGUUCCACUAGAAGGUCUUUAUGCACUAU